rnacentral:lncRNA from 10 species
UCAGAAAAUGUCUUGAUGAGGAAAGAACCAGCUCCAGUCAGGAUUAUCUUCUGCACAACUAAGGACUGUCCCUCAAAAUGUUUCCUUUUUCACCUGAGCAGUCCAACACCGGGAAGCAAAAGAGGAAAAGAUGGAGAAGAUUAUUUCUGCUGGCCUCCAGGAAGCAGGGUUGUUUUCUUUCUUGACUGUGAUCUGGAAAUGUACAACCAGAGGAUCUCAAUAAAUGCUCCAAUGUGUGACCAGCUAAUUUUAUUAACAUCAGUUCUCUAUGAAAUGAUGCUGCAUUUACUCGGUAACAGAAUGAAGUGGCAUAAAUGAGAGGCGGUGGACACUAACCUGUGACUGAGAGAGAGGAGCUACCACCGAUGAAGACUGGUCAUUUGGGUUUCACAUUUCUCUGUGAAUGAACAGUUUUGAAAAACUAAGCCUCGUGUAUCUAUUCUCCUUUAAAAGUACUGCCUUCCUAAGGAAAACACCCUCAAUGUAUUCAUUUUGUUUCAGUUCUUUGUCUGGAGCUGUUGCUACAACUGCUUUAAUGAGAGACAAUUUUUUUUUCUGUCAUCCACAGUGUCUUUUGCAGCCCUCUUUUGAAUUAAUAAAACGCAUUUUCAAAGUGUUUUGUUGGACUUAGAAGUGCUCUUAUAAUCCUCCACAAAGUGAAACUAACCAUAACUUCAUGAACGAUUUAAUAAACUAGUAUCCAGUUAUUCCAAAGAGCCAUUUAUUCAUUUAUUAAGCCAAUUAUUAAGCCUUGAGACACGUAAUUACCUGGAAUUUAAGAGACUAUAUUCUCAUUGCUCUUACCAAAAACUAUCACCUCAAAUUUCACUUGCAAGUUACUGUCUGCCUAACUCAAGACAGUUAUUUGUGAUAACAAAGAAGUUUA